CGGCCGCGGGAAUUCGAUUUACCUUUUGGUUCGGAACAACACAGGGAAACUUGUGCUAAUACCGGAUAAGCCCUUACGGGGAAAGAUUUAUCGCCGAAAGAUCGGCCCGCGUCUGAUUAGCUAGUUGGUGAGGUAAUGGCUCACCAAGGCGACGAUCAGUAGCUGGUCUGAGAGGAUGAUCAGCCACAUUGGGACUGAGACACGGCCCAAACUCCUACGGGAGGCAGCAGUGGGGAAUAUUGGACAAUGGGGGCAACCCUGAUCCAGCCAUGCCGCGUGAGUGAUGAAGGCCCUAGGGUUGUAAAGCUCUUUUGUGCGGGAAGAUAAUGACGGUACCGCAAGAAUAAGCCCCGGCUAACUUCGUGCCAGCAGCCGCGGUAAUACGAAUCACUAGUGAAUUCGCGGCCGCCUGCAGGUCGACCAUAUGGGAGAGCUCCCAA
rnacentral:rRNA from 1 species